rnacentral:misc_RNA from 1 species
AAGUCGUAACAAGGUUUCCGUAGGUGAACCUGCGGAAGGAUCAUUACCGAAUGGCCAAACGUGGGUUGUUGCUGGCCCCCCAAAAGGGGCAUGUGCACGCUCUGUUUACACAUCCACUCACACCUGUGCACCCUCUGUAGUUUUAUGGUUCGGGAGACCCUGUCUUCCUGCCGUAGCUCUACGUCUUUACACACACGCCGUAGCGAUGUCUUGUGGAAUGUUUUUUUUGCGUUUGACGCGAUACAGUACAACUUUCAGCAACGGAUCUCUUGGCUCUC